AUCUGAUACAUAUCUGUCAUUUUGGGAUUUCUUUUCAUUGGAUUCCUGGUUAAUUACAUCAUCUUUCCUCGUGCAUCUUCUCUUGAUUGUAACCCUCAUUGGGCUGGAAUAUAGCUUCAAGAAACUUCUGAAGAAUGAAUCUAUAGGAGUGAAAUUGAAUGCUUUAACAAGCCAAGUCAUCAAUGGCAAGAUGCAGUUCUAUGCCAGAGCUAAACUUUUCUACCAAGAAGUACCAGCCACAGAAGAGGGUAUGAUGGGAAAUUUCAUUGAACUGUCCAGCCCAGACAUCCAGGCCUCUCAGAAAUUUCUUAGGAAAUUUGUUGGGGGCAUGACAAUAGAAGCUACUUCACAGGAUAAUGUGGAGAUCAAACAAAUAAUACAUGUCAGGGGCCUGGGAGAGCUGGAACAGACUGCGCCUUGGACUGCGGCUCUGGGAUAGGAAGGGUCAGCAAACACGUCUUAUUGCCUGUUUUCAACAGUGUGGAGCUGGUGGAUAUGAUGGAAUCCUUUCUCCUUGAAGCCCAGAACUACCUGCAGGUCAAAGGUGACAAAGUAGAAAGCUACCACUGCUAUAGCCUGCAGGAAUUCACACCCCCCUUCAGGAGAUAUGGUGUCAUCUGGAUUCAGUGGGUCUCUGGGCACCUGACUGAUAAGGACCUUCUUGCAUUUCUUUCCCGGUGCCGAGAUGGCCUGAAAGAAAAUGGCAUCAUCAUAU
rnacentral:sRNA from 1 species